rnacentral:rRNA from 1 species
GUGAACGCUGGCGGUAGGCCUAACACAUGCCAGUCGAACGGCAGCACAGUAAGAGCUUGCUCUUACGGGUGGCGAGUGGCGGACGGGUGAGGAAUACAUCGGAAUCUACUUUUUCGUGGGGGAUAACGUAGGGAAACUUACGCUAAUACCGCAUACGACCUACGGGUGAAAGCAGGGGAUCUUCGGACCUUGCGCGAUUGAAUGAGCCGAUGUCGGAUUAGCUAAUUGGCGGGGUAAAGGCCCACCAAGGCGACGAUCCGUAGCUGGUCUGAGAGGAUGAUCAGCCACACUGGAACUGAGACACGGUCCAGACUCCUACGGGAGGCAGCAGUGGGGAAUAUUGGACAAUGGGCGCAAGCCUGAUCCAGCCAUACCGCGUGGGUGAAGAAGGCCUUCGGGUUGUAAAGCCCUUUUGUUGGGAAAGAAAAGCAGCAGGUUAAUACCCCGCUGUUCUGACGGUACCCAAAGAAUAAGCACCGGCUAACUUCGUG